rnacentral:rRNA from 1 species
GCGGUACCCUGACCGUGCAAAGGUAGCAUAAUCAUUUGCCCUUUAAUUAAGGGCUAGUAUGAACGGGUAAACGAAGAUUCACCUGUCUCUUGAGUAGCACUAGAAAUUAACAUCUAGGUGAAGAGGCCUAGAUAACUAUGGAAGACAAGAAGACCCUGUCGAGCUCUGUAGCCUGACCCCUCUUUAUAUUUAACAACACCAAAAAGGAAGAGAAAGACUACUUCAUUGGGGCGAUGAGAGGAGAAAAAAAUCACCUCUUUAUAAAAAGGAAGUCAAACCAUAAAAUGACCCAUUACUAUGAUCAAAGGAUAAAGCUACCGCAGGGAUAACAGGUUAAUUCUCUCAGAGAGCUCCCAUUGACGAGAGAGUUUGGCACCUCGAUGUUGGCUU